UACGUAGGGGGCUAGCGUUGUCCGGAAUUACUGGGCGUAAAGGGCGCGUAGGCGGCCUUCUAAGUCGAACGUGAAAUCCCCGGGCUCAACCCGGGAACUGCGUCCGAUACUGGAAGGCUUGAAUCCGGGAGAGGGAUGUGGAAUUCCAGGUGUAGCGGUGAAAUGCGUAGAUAUCUGGAGGAACACCGGUGGCGAAGGCGACAUCCUGGACCGGUAUUGACGCUGAGGCGCGAAAGCCAGGGGAGCAAACGGG
rnacentral:rRNA from 1 species